rnacentral:rRNA from 1 species
CGCGCAGGCGGCCAAGUCAGUCGAAUGUGAAAGCCCCCAGCUCAACUGGGGAAGGUCAUCCGAUACUGCUUGGCUUGAAGGUAGGAGAGGGAAGUGGAAUUUCAGGUGUAGUGGUGAAAUGCGUAGAUAUCUGAAGGAACACCAGUGGCGAAGGCGACUUUCUGGCCUAUUCUUGACGCUGAGGCGCGAAAGCUAGGGAGCAACG